ACGUGUGCAACCUGCCUUUAUCUGGAGGAUAGCCUUUCGAAAGGAAGAUUAAUACUCCAUAAUAUAUUGAUUGGCAUCAAUUGAUAUUGAAAGCUCCGGCGGAUAGAGAUGGGCACGCGCAAGAUUAGAUAGUUGGUGAGGUAACGGCUCACCAAGUCUGCGAUCUUUAGGGGGCCUGAGAGGGUGAUCCCCCACACUGGUACUGAGACACGGACCAGACUCCUACGGGAGGCAGCAGUGAGGAAUAUUGGACAAUGGGUGAAAGCCUGAUCCAGCCAUCCCGCGUGAAGGAUUAAGGUCCUAUGGAUUGUAAACUUCUUUUGUACAGGGAUAAACCUAUCUACGUGUAGAUAGCUGAAGGUACUGUACGAAUAAGCACCGGCUAACUCCGUGCCAGCAGCCGCGGUAAUACGGAGGGUGCAAGCGUUAUCCGGAUUUAUUGGGUUUAAAGGGUCCGUAGGCGGACUUAUAAGUCAGUGGUGAAAGCCGACAGCUUAACUGUCGAACUGCCGUUGAUACUGUAAGUCUUGAGUGUAGUUGAGGUAGCUGGAAUAAGUAGUGUAGCGGUGAAAUGCAUAGAUAUUACUUAGAACACCAAUUGCGAAGGCAGGUUACCAAGUUACAACUGACGCUGAUGGACGAAAGCGUGGGGAGCGAACAGGAUUAGAUACCCUGGUAGUCCACGCCGUAAACGAUGCUAACUCGUUUUUGGGGCGCAAGCUUCAG
rnacentral:rRNA from 1 species